rnacentral:rRNA from 1 species
UAGGGAAUCUUCGGCAAUGGGGGCAACCCCGACCGAGCAACGCCGCGUGAGUGAAGAAGGUUUUCGGAUCGUAAAGCUCUGUUGUAAGAGAAGAACGUGUGUGAGAGUGGAAAGUUCACACAGUGACGGUAACUUACCAGAAAGGGACGGCUAACUACGUGCCAGCAGCCGCGGUAAUACGUAGGUCCCGAGCGUUGUCCGGAUUUAUUGGGCGUAAAGCGAGCGCAGGCGGUUUAAUAAGUCUGAAGUUAAAGGCAGUGGCUUAACCAUUGUUCGCUUUGGAAACUGUUAAACUUGAGUGCAGAAGGGGAGAGUGGAAUUCCAUGUGUAGCGGUGAAAUGCGUAGAUAUAUGGAGGAACACCGGUGGCGAAAGCGGCUCUCUGGUCUGUAACUGACGCUGAGGCUCGAAAGCGUGGGGAGCAAACAGG